rnacentral:rRNA from 1 species
AAUUUUGGACAAUGGGGGAAACCCUGAUCCAGCCAUCCCGCGUGUAUGAUGAAGGCCUUCGGGUUGUAAAGUACUUUUGGCAGAGAAGAAAAGGUAUCUCCUAAUACGAGAUACUGCUGUCGGUAUCUGCAGAAUACGCACCGGCUACCUACGUGCCAGCAGCCGCGGUAAUACGUAGGGUGCAAGCGUUAAUCGGAAUUACUGGGCGUAAAGAGUGGGUGGGGGGUCGGGAAGGAAAGUUGGGAAUCCCAGGGCCCAACCUUUGAACUUGCAUUUUAAAUUGCCGGGUAGGAGAUGGUAGGGGGGGGUAGAAUUCCACGUGUAGCAGUGAAAUGCGUAGAUAUGUGGAGGAAUACCGAUGGCGAAGGCAGCCCCCUGGGAUAAUACUGACGCUCAGACACGAAAGCGUGGGGAGCAAACAGG